GUCCUAUUGUUAUUUAAUAUUAGGUCUAACCUGCCCAAUGAUUUUAAUUUAAUGGCCGCGGUAUUUUAACCGUGCAAAGGUAGCAUAAUCAUUUGUCUUUUAAUUUAAGGCUUGUAUGAAUGGUUUGAUGAAAUAUAUACUUUCUUUAUUUUAUUUUAAUGAAUUUAAUUUUUAAGUUAAAAAGCUUAAAUUUUUUUAUAGGACGAGAAGACCCUGUAGAACUUUAUUUAUUUUUAUUAUAUUUUAUUUGGUUUUUAUUGUUUAUUAUAUAUUUUAUUAAUAAAUUUUGUUGGGGUGACAGUGAAAUUUUUUUAACUUUCAUUUAUAAUUUAUCAUGAAUUAAUGUAUUUUUGAUCCAAUUUUGUUGAUUAUAAGAUUAAGUUACCUCAGGGAUAACAGCGUAAUUUUAUUGGAGAGUUCAUAUCGAUAAUAAAGUUUGCGA
rnacentral:rRNA from 1 species